rnacentral:rRNA from 1 species
UACGUAGGGGGCAAGCGUUGUCCGGAAUUAUUGGGCGUAAAGAGCGUGUAGGCGGCCCGAUAAGUCCGCCGUGAAAGUCCAGGGCUCAACCCUGGAAUGCCGGUGGAAACUGUCGGGCUGGAGUCCGGAAGAGGCGAGUGGAAUUCCUGGUGUAGCGGUGAAAUGCGCAGAUAUCAGGAGGAACACCAAUGGCGAAGGCAGCUCGCUGGGACGGUACUGACGCUGAGACGCGAAAGCGUGGGGAGCAAACAGG